GACGAACGCUGGCGGCGUGCUUAACACAUACAAGUCGAACGGUGAAAGCGGAGCUUGCUCCGCUGGAUCAGUGGCGAACGGGUGAGUAACACGUGGGCAACCUGCCCCUCACUUCGGGAUAACUCCGGGAAACCGGGGCUAAUACCGGAUAUGACCUCCUUGGGCAUCCUUGGAGGUGGAAAGUUUUUCGGUGAGGGAUGGGCCCGCGGCCUAUCAGCUUGUUGGUGAGGUAGUGGCUCACCAAGGCGACGACGGGUAGCCGGCCGGAGAGGGCGACCGGCCACACUGGGACUGAGACACGGCCCAGACUCCUACGGGAGGCAGCAGUGGGGAAUAUUGCGCAAUGGGCGAAAGCCUGACGCAGCAACGCCGCGUGCGGGAUGACGGCCUUCGGGUUGUAAACCGCUUUCAGCAGGGAAGAAGCCGCAAGGUGACGGUACCUGCAGAAGAAGCACCGGCUAACUACGUGCCAGCCGCCGCAGUAA
rnacentral:rRNA from 1 species